GAAAAAAAUCUACAAUUGCAAAGAUUAGGUGAGGAGUCCAGAGAUAACCUGGCUAAACUUGAGGAGGACAAAGCCAAACUAUCACAACAAAUCAAAAAAUUGCAACAAAUGAUACUAGAAGUAGAGGAGAAUUUGGACAAGGCACCGUUGGAAAUGUUCCAAGAUAUGAAAGUCACCUUGGAAAGAAGUGAGAAGCUGAUGCUUCAAGAACCGGAGGUUACUUCCCC
rnacentral:lncRNA from 1 species